rnacentral:rRNA from 1 species
UACGUAGGGGGCAAGCGUUGUCCGGAAUCAUUGGGCGUAAAGCGCGUGUAGGCGGCCAGGUAAGUCCGUUCUGAAAGCCCGGGGCUCAACCCCGGGAGGCGGAUGGAUACUGCUUGGCUCGAGUCCGGAAGAGGCGAGUGGAAUUCCCGGUGUAGCGGUGAAAUGCGCAGAUAUCAGGAGGAACACCAAUGGCGAAGGCGGCGACCUGGGCCAAUAUUGACGCUGAGGUGCGAAAGCGUGGGGAGCAAACAGG